rnacentral:rRNA from 1 species
AGUGAACGCUGGCGGUAGGCCUAACACAUGCAAGUCGAACGGCAGCACAGUAAGAGCUUGCUCUUACGGGUGGCGAGUGGCGGACGGGUGAGGAAUACAUCGGAAUCUACUUUUUCGUGGGGGAUAACGUAGGGAAACUUACGCUAAUACCGCAUACGACCUACGGGUGAAAGCAGGGGAUCUUCGGACCUUGCGCGAUUGAAUGAGCCGAUGUCGGAUUAGCUAGUUGGCGGGGUAAAGGCCCACCAAGGCGACGAUCCGUAGCUGGUCUGAGAGGAUGGUCAGCCACACUGGAACUUAGACACGGUCCCGACUCCUACGGGAGGCCGCAGUGGGGAAUAUUUGACAAUGGGCGCAAGCCUGAACCAGCCAUACCGCGUGGGUGAAGAAGGCCUUCGGGUUGUAAAGCCCUUUUGUUGGGAAAGAAAAGCAGCAGGUUAAUACCCCGCUGUCCUGACGGUACCCAAAGAAUAAGCACCGGCUAACUUCGUG